rnacentral:misc_RNA from 1 species
UGGACUACUGGGGUUUCUAAUCCUGUUUGCUCCCCACGCUUUCGUGACUCAGCGUCAGUAACAGUCCAGUAAGCCGCCUUCGCCACCGGUGUUCUUCCUAAUAUCUACGCAUUUCACCGCUACACUAGGAAUUCCGCUUACCUCUCCUGCACUCUAGUCAUACAGCUUCUUAUGCAGCGCCAAGGUUAAGCCCUGACAUUUCACAUAUGACUUGCAUGACCGCCUACUCACCCUUUACACCCAGUAAAUCCGGAUAACGCUUGCACCAUACGUAUUACCGCGGCUGCUGGCACGUAUUUAGCCGGAGCUUCUUAGUCAGGUACCGUCACUAUCUUCCCUGCUGAUAGAGCUUUACAUAACGAAUUACUUCUUCACUCACGCGGCGUCGCUGCAUCAGAGU